GGACUACGCGGGUAUCUAAUCCGGUUUGCUCCCCCAGCUUUCGUCCCUCACUGUCGGAGUCGUUCUGGUGAGACGCCUUCGCCACAGGUGGUCCCCUGAGGAUAACAGGAUUUCACUCCUACCCCCAGAGUACCUCUCACCUCUCCCGAUCCCAAGGUAGCCAGUAUCCCUGAGACGCCUUUCGGUUGAGCCGAAAGAUUUCCCCAGAGACUUAACUACCCAGCUACGGACGCUUUAAGCCCAGUAAUAGUGGCCACCACUCGAGCCGCCGGUAUUACCGCGGCGGCUGGCACCGGUCUUGCCCGGCCCUUUCUCCAGGUGUUUUUUGCGCACCUGAACAGCCUGUCCAUACAGGCACUCGGGGUUCCCUUAUCACAGUUUCCUGCAUUGUAAAGUUUUCGCGCCUGCUGCCCCCCAUAGG
rnacentral:rRNA from 1 species